AUUACAUAAAAUAAAAAAUAAAAAUUUAGAUUAAAAUAAAUAGAUGAUAAUAAAAAAAUUUAUUGAGAUAUGAUAAAAUUUUUUAUUUCUUAAAAAUGUAUAUUUUAUUUUUUUAAUUAAUAUAAAUAGAUACUCGAAGACAACCAAACAGGUAGUUACUUUGAAAGAAAAAAAACAAAAACAAAAACAAAAAAAAGGUUAGUUAUCAGAGCCAACAUCCUCCCGAUCCGCAACGGCUCCAUCUCCGUCGCCCUCUGCACCAUCGUCGUCCUCCUUGGCUCAUCCAGUUGGGCUUCACCGCCCGCUACACUUUCCCUCACCCUGGACGAGAUCAUUGCCAACCUCGGCCUCUCCCUUCCGGUUCUCUUUGGUGUGACGGUUUCUUUACUGCUUGGCGUGACGGCGAUGUGUGUUGGUGGUGCCAGUUCUCGACUCUUGGUUCUCUGUCCAACAUCGGAGCCAUGGUGGGGAAUAUUUCCAGCGGACAUUGCGGAGGACAUCGGGCGCAAAGGAGCGAAGCAGAUCUGACCUUUUUUCUGGUUCCCGUCAGGAUCUGAUCAUGAUGAGUCUUUGACGUGAUUGUUGUUGGAAGGGUUCAGUGUCAGUGUGAGCUCCUAGACAGUAUGUUACCAUCCUUCUGCAAGCGUUUGAUCCAUUAUGGUGGAGUUUUAUGCGGUCCGACUCUUGAUCUAUAGACGUCUUAUCACUUGCCUGAUAGUUCCCAAGAACUAUCAGAGAUUGUUCCUAAGAACUUGAGAGGGGCACUCGGCUCUGUGGAUCAGAAUUCAGUGGCCUGAUCAACCAGGACACCAAUCCCAUUAGGCAUUGAUCUACAUGCACUGCAGCAGCAAAGUGGAAUCAAGUCAAUCAACAGAUACUUCCUGUUAAUAUCAAGAGCCCUGCUAAUAGUUCCACAAUACUUGCCAACCGGAUGACAUCAUUUGUGAUAACAAUGAUUGCAAAGUUACUUCUGGGCUGGAGCACCGGAGUUUGAAAUGUGUGCUCUCAAGAUACCGAUACCACUCCAUUGAUAAUAUGGGUGCCUGAGAUCAAGGGAGGAACUCUCGAGGAAUCACAGUAGUCUAUCAGAGAAAAAGAUGGAAGUAGAAUGAUGAUGGAUUCAAAACUUACUCUUUCAUGUCCUUGGCAAGCUCUAGGUUGAAUAUGUUGUCAUUCUCUCCCCACAACAAGAGUAUCCUCUGCAUCAUGUGAAAAUGAAAACACCAAGAAUAAUCAUGCUCUUCAAUUCCACAUUUUGGCAGCAUACAAGAGGUAAUGGAAGAAAUCGGAUACCUGCACACAUACCUGAUCCAAAGAGGGAACCUUCGCAUCUUUGUUGCUGAUCACCAAACCCUCGAGCAGUUCUGCCCUCUCCUUCCGAUUGCUAAACAUCACCUGUUCAUAUCCACACCGAUCAGUGGAUGGAAUCAGCAGGCAUUUGCAUGCAUGCAGUCGGUACCUCGA